rnacentral:ncRNA from 2 species
CUGUCAGUUCGUGGUCCUUUGAGCCGACCGGCUUGCCGCCACGUUAAACAAGGUCGCUAAAAGGUCGGUUGCGGCGAACC